AGUGAACGCUGGCGGUAGGCCUAACACAUGCAAGUCGAACGGCAGCACAGUAAAAGCUUGCUCUUACGGGUGGCGAGUGGCGGACGGGUGAGGAAUACAUCGGAAUCUACUUUUUCGUGGGGGAUAACGUAGGGAAACUUACGCUAAUACCGCAUACGACCUACGGGUGAAAGCAGGGGAUCUUCGGACCUUGCGCGAUUGAAUGAGCCGAUGUCGGAUUAGCUAGUUGGCGGGGUAAAGGCCCACCAAGGCGACGAUCCGUAGCUGGUCUGAGAGGAUGAUCAGCCACACUGGAACUGAGACACGGUCCAGACUCCUACGGGAGGCAGCAGUGGGGAAUAUUGGACAAAGGGCGCAAGCCUGAUCCAGCCAUACCGCGUGGGUGAAGAAGGCCUUCGGGUUGUAAAGCCCUUUUGUUGGGAAAGAAAAGCAGCAGGUUAAUACCCCGCUGUUCUGACGGUACCCAAAGAAUAAGCACCGGCUAACUUCGUG
rnacentral:rRNA from 1 species